GGGGCUGUGGCUCAGUGGUAAAGCAUCUGCUUAGCAUGCAGAAGGUCCCAGGUUUGAUCCUUGGCAUCUCCA
rnacentral:tRNA from 1 species